GUGUUUCCUCCCUGUCCUCCCUGGAUUCCCUUUGGGACUCCCUCAAUGAGGCAGUCUCUGAAGUGGCUAUCGAGGAGGAAGAGCCACAGGAAGUACCAGAGAGCCCCCCAGAGGAGGACGGGGAGGACAAGGAGGACAAGGAGGCCCUUUAUUCGCCGUGCCCCCCACCUGGAGAACACCUGGAGGCAAGCAUAAUCGAGGACUGCGAGGAAGAGAGGCCCCCGAAGACCCCCACUUGCCUGGGCUCCAUCAUCUCCCGGAUUCGCAAGAUCUUCAGAAGAGCGCUGCCGCCAGCACCACCAGUGCCACCAGAGCAACCCAGUACAAGAGGCAGCAGUGGGGCGCAGGGGGAAAGGAGGCCACUCUGCACGUGGCUCAGGCGCUGGAUGCGGCAGCAUCGCAGCUGUGUCCACCCUGAACCCAGAUGAGGAGGAGUUGGGAGGCUUGCACCGAUCCGCCCAGGGGGAUUUUGCCACCCCCCCUGGGAUGACACUCGGGGCGAUACCCCCCCCACACCCCACCUUCCUCCGCCAGUGGUGGCAGGGGAAGUAGCACCUGGAGGCGCCCGAGUCCCUAAGGGACAUUUCCUUUUUGUUGUCCUUGCACAGGUCUUAAUCCUUGUGGUCCAAACUGGAGAGGAGGAAUAAAAGAUCUGAGCGCGGAGGCAAGCGGGGCGAGAAACCCAACCCCAUGUGGCCCUACGCUGGCGUCCCACACGGCCAGCCCGUCCUACAGCCCGACACCUUUUGAGAUUGCGGAGCAGAACGGAGAAGACAGCGGGCAAAGGGUGGACGGCGAAGGAGAAGUGCGAGAGAACGACAGCGUCUACGGUGGCGGAGGAGAAGGAGAAGGCAGGACUGAGAGGGGAACGAUCCUGGAAGGUGGCUUGAAAAGAAAGGGCAAAGACUCUCCUCCCUGAAAGAGAGGGGAGUGGUUGUGGGCGGGAACCCGAGCACCGCCCAGCAGGGGGCGUUGCCCCCUGCCUCCCGCUCA